rnacentral:lncRNA from 1 species
AGACAAACCAUCAGGAUAAUGACAGUCUUGAUAAUGUCUGGCAAGCCAAAGUCACAGUGCCUAACUACAGACUGGAAUGAUCACAUUAGUAGUCAGUUAUCUUGUACCUACCCUCCUUUGAGCAGAAGACAUUGCUGUUGUUUCUCAUGUUGCAGGAGGUGAGCCAAAUGGAGUUAGCAUAAAAUGAGUAACUUUUCUGUUAGUAUUGACAGGGACAUAUACUAUGUAGUACCUACAACUGACAAGAUUUGCAAAGUUAUCAUUAAGAAUUUAAAAAUGAUGAAACUGCAUUGAAAAAAAAUCUACUUUUUGUCUUGCUUUUGAUGUGCUAGGGUUUAAGUUUAUCUAGCUGCAAGCAUAUAAACCAUCAUUGCCAACAGCAAAAAGAAGCAAACUGGGAUUUAUUUAUUUAUUUAUUUUUGUAUAACUAUAAACUUAUACUUAAUGGUAGAACAUAUAUACCAUAUCUGUCAUAAGAACUGACAGGAGUGUGUAUGUUACUAAACACUUUUCAGGAAAAAUAAUACUGUGCAUAUGGCUUAAAUUUCAAGGACUUAUUACUUUGUUUUGUAACCAUUUUUCUUUAAACAUACCAAAAUCACUUCUUUCACCUCCUCUUUGCAGCUUGGAUAAGCAAUUCUCUCAUGCUUCCAGCCACCUCCUUGUGCUGGAAUCAGAGUGUGUACUAUAGCAUUCUUAUUCUGGAAACAGAAAGGGAAAAAAAUAAAAAAAUAAAAUGGAAAAAAGGAGAGAAGAGGAGAGGAGAGCAGAGCAGAGAGAAAAGAAAAGAAAAGAAAAGAAAAGAAAAGAAAAGAAAAGACUCCGGAAACCAGCUGCAGUUUUCUGAUCUUGUCCCAGCUGAAUCAGUGACUAGAGUGGGCAACUUGUUCACCUUGGCCUUACUGACUGAUUCUCCAGAAGAGAGACAGACAUCAUCAGUCUGAAGAUGCUGAAGAUGAAGAAGAGGAAAAGAAGAAAGAAAAGUAGGUUAGAUACUUUUCACAAAGGCAGGCAAUGAAGAGCUCAAAAAAGCCUACAACUUUUUUGUUCCCAAAUUCUACAGUCUCUGCAUAAUCUACUGCUAUGAAGGACAAUUUUAGUUUGUUUUUGUUGUGACUUCAGUAAAAAUACACAUUACAAAAGACAUAUUCAAAGCUGUCACCUAUGGUUUUACACUGCAUAUAGUGAGGCUUAAUGUAAAACAUAGAUAUACAGUUGUCAAAAGAAAGCUUGGGGUAGAUGGAGAGCUAUG